GGGUGGCUGGCGCAAUGGUAGCGCGUUGGUUUUCGGCGUCAAUCAAUCUCAUGAUUGAUUGUACUGAUUCACCAAAGGUUGUGGAUUCGAGUCCCACGUCGCUCG
rfam:Talaromyces stipitatus ATCC 10500 scf_1105507295541 genomic scaffold, whole genome shotgun sequence.